GGUUCAGUCGGCAAUGCAUCCGCCAUUAAGCAAGAAGAAGAAGCAGAGAGUUGCGCGUUUGUUGCAUGGAUCUAAUAUAAUAAACGGUUUGUUGUUGUGGUGAGACAUGAGUUUAAUCUUUUGAAUAAAUAGACCCUGUGUGCACGAUAUUAUUUCUAUGGCACUAUAGCAAAUGUUACUUCCUGUGAAUGCGAUGGAAGGCCACAGGUAUGAUAGACUUAUGGGAGGACGAAGGUCGAACAAAGAAAAGAUUAAUGAUGGAAGGUUUAAGAUCCAGGACUGUCGUUGUUCACCGAAACAAGAGCCAGAAUCGUACUGCUAAUAUUUUGGUAAAAACGCUCUGGAAAGAGGAAGAGGAGCAGCUCUCUGUGAGUUUUUGUCCAUUAAAGAGCUCACCAAGUGAAGAAAAAGAAUUUGUUAAGAAGGAGACUAGAGAGGAUUAUAGACCAGACAUUUGGAAAAAUCGGCCAAAAGUAUUGGCCAAUCAUAUCGGCAUCAGCCUUGGAAAACCCAUAUCGGUCUAGCAUGUAGGUCUAGGGUGUGUAACGUUUGUAUAUAUUCGGAGGGAUGGGAGGGUGUACUAGGCGUAUUGUUUUAAAUGUUUUAAUCUGUAAAGCACUUUGUGAUACCUUUCGGUAUGAAAAGCGCUUUAUAAAUAAAGUUUGAUUGAUUGAAGGAUGCUAACCCCGAGCCUGCGUCCGGACAUCAAUCAAUCAAUCAAUCAAUCAAAC
rnacentral:lncRNA from 1 species